rnacentral:rRNA from 1 species
AGGGUUAACGCUGGCGGUGCGCAUAACACAUGCAAGUCGAGCGAGGGCUUAUUUCUCGCAAGAGAGAUAAGUUCCUAGCGGCGAACGGGUGAGUAACACGUGGGCAACCUUUCCUAUCGCGGGGGAUAACAGCGGGAAACCGCUGCUAAUACCGCAUGUCGUCACCGGCUAAUGGCUGGUGAAGAAAGCAGCAAUGCACGAUGGGGUGGGCCCGCGGCCUAUCAGCUAGUCGGUGGGGUAACGGCCUACCGAGGCGAUGACGGGUAGCUGGUCUGAGAGGACGACCAGCCACACGGGGGACUGAGACACGGCCCCGACUCCUACGGGAGGCAGCAGUGAGGAAUCUUCCGCAAUGGGCGAAAGCCUGACGGAGCGACACCGCGUGUGGGAUGAAGUCCUCGGGAUGUAACCACUGUCGGAGGGGAAGACAUCGACGGUACCCUCCAAGAACGCCCCGGCUAACUACGUGCCAGCAGCCGCGGUAA